rnacentral:lncRNA from 1 species
GAAAAAUCACUCUAGAGAAGAGCUAUUACUGUAUUUAUUUUUGUUUGUUUUAGAGGUUGUGAGAUUUGAUGGCUACAACAUUUAUUUCAUUAUUUGAGAGGAUCUCCUUGAGUGAUUAUUUAUAUUCGAAGAGAGGGCAUUUUCUUAAAGACUAGAAGCACUCUAGUGUUGUAAAUAUUUUUCAAACACCCGUAAACUUAGUGGAUACCCAAAGAGAACUUAGAGAGUGGACGUAAGCAAUGAUUCGCCAAACCACUAUAAAUUGUUUGCACUCUCUUCUCUCUUCUUAUUGCUUAUUUAUUUGAUUAGAGUGCAUAGUAAAUUUAUUGUUAAGUAAACUUUUAAUUGGUUAUUAAGAGUAGCAAACCUAUUCACUCCUCAUAGUUUGAUUUUUAGCUAAGAGAAAUAAAAAUGAAAAAGGUAUGUGAUCCAAUAGUUUUGAACAAUUGGAUCGUCAGCUUUUUUUAUUUUUAUUUUAUUUUUUCUCACUAAAUUUAGAAUCCAAACACAAUCUUAGGGUGUGAAUUUCGAAAUCUACAAAUAUAAUAUAGGCUACGUUCAUUUGGUGUGAAUUCAGUUAGUGGUUGCAAUUAAGGUCUCUUGUAAGUACGAUAUGAAUAAUGUUUGAUUCUUUUAUGUUGUCUUUUUUUAGUUCUCUUUUUUGUGUGCUUGAUUAGAUUAGUUAUGUAAUUAAUUAUAACUCUAGUUGGACUGGGGCAAAUUAAAUUAAUUGAUUGUUAGAUUAUUAAUUAAUUAAUAUCAUGGUUAUAUCAUUGUGUGACAAGGGUUUGAUAAAUUACCGAAGCAUUUUUAUCCUAGUGACUAUAAUAUCCGAAAGCUUAGGUUGCGUUUCGAAAGGAAAGAAAUGGAAAAGAAUGGACACUAAUAAUUUUCCCUUUUCCAGGUUUCGUAUCUAGUUUUAAGAAGGAAAGUCAGUCAAAACUUAUUUUCUUUCUUGUUUUGAAAUUUUCUUUUCACAUUUUCACCUCUUAAUUUUAUCUAAAAUUAAAUAAAAAUAAUUUUUUUUUUUUUUACAAAAAACAAACAAAGAGAAAUAUAUAGUUUUCUCUAGAUUCUUCCUUUUAAUUCCUUUAUCUAGUUUCUCUUUCUUUUUCUUUACACAAUUUCCAAACACAGGCUUAAUCAUGGGAGAGAGAGGUUGCUAGGUUGUGUAAUUAGCAAAAUUUCAUGACACGUCUUAUUUGAUGUAAUUUGGAGAUUUAGUUUAUCAAUUACAAGCAUUCGGAAAGAUUUCAAGCAUUCAAAAAGGUUUUUAAGUAUAUUCAUACAAGAUCAUGCUAACAGAGACUUGUAAGAUACAUCGUGGAUGAUAAACGGGACUUCAAGGGAUUUCGAGAGAUGACAAUCAUUAGAUCAUAGAGUUGAUAGAUUUUAAUUGUAAGAGUCUUGUAAUCAUCUGAACAUCGAGUUAUAGUGCAUGAUCUUUGUCCAGAGAAGGGAACACGUGAUUUUUCUUUCAUUCAAGGGUUUCCACGGUAAAAAUCUUGUGUAUUUCUUGGUUAAUGGGUUUGUUUCUUUUUAUAUCUUGAAUCUUACAAUAUUGCACAAAGUCGUGAUAUUCAUUUAAUAUUGUAGUUUUUAGAUCAUUGGGUAAAACAUAGACAAAUGUUAGGUUUUCUAAAUGUCAAUUACACAAAUAGAUACACAGUAUUAUUAUACAUAGAGGGAGCAAUAGCCCACAAGUAGAAGUUUCAGUUUCACCACACCCAUAUUAUUAACAGAUGGAAAUAUAUAUUUAUUCUUGAGAGGUACACACUGAUCACACAUCUACUGCUCCAUACCAAGUAAGCCAGAUAAUGGCAUUUAUAUCUCCAUUAUAUCACUUGAGAUGGUGGGUCUCAAUGUCUUUUGUGAUCUCAAUACAGAGGUCCAUCAAUUUGUUUGGCUCUUCAACAUCUUCUUUCGGCUUUUCAUAGUGAAAGUUCCAUGUCACCGAGGUGUUUUCCCCUUUUGUGUCCACAUGAACAACAAUCAUAAAGGUCUUGUACAGAUCCAUAAGAUCUCCUUCAACAACCUUGAAUGUCACGGACUUGGUUUCUUCUUCAGUUCUUCUAUUGCUUCAACAAUUUCCUUAGCAGCCUUCUCCUUUCUAUCUGUGGUUUUCAUCACAUUAAAUGCAACUUCUUAAGUCAAGCUAGUCAAGGCGUAUCCACAAUUUUAAUUUUGGGGAGCUGAAUAUAUAUAUAAAACACAUAAUUUGUAAAUUACACAUGUAAUAUAUUGGACCUAGAAUUUCUCUCCUAGGUGCUUUCAAUUGCUUGUAAUAAAACAUAAUAUUUUUAUGUAAUUUUUAUAUAUUUUAUAUUUUGAGUAUUUGUCUGUGAAUCCAACCCUAUAGUUGUAAUUUAAAGAAAUUCUGAAACUACGAGGACAAAAGUGCAAUUUUGUACUAGAGGAGGUUAAGAAGACUAUAAAUACAUGAGGGAGGCAACCCUAAUUGGGAGUAAGAGCCAACAAUAUUGUUUAUCCAUGCUCUUUGUGUACUUGAGAGAUUUUUAGAGAAAUCAUUGAGCUUCAUCUUUUCUCUUAAGGUGUGUUUAUCAUAAACUCAUCAAAUCAAGAUUUAAAUCCUUUGGACAUACUCAAAGGCGGAUAGAUUUAAGUUCAAUUCAUAGAUGAUUGUUGAUGAUUCAAUACUCAACCAUUAACUGAAGCGUAGAUCGUGGACUCAGUCAGUACUAGGAUCACAUUCACAUGUUCGAGGAUUUGACACCUAAGGCGCGUGAAUUUAGUUAGAUUGAGUUUGUAAGUUAUAACUUAUAUUUUGCAUAGUGGAUUAGUUGAUCGUACUUAGUUCCAGAUUUUUUUUUCUACUUUGAGAUUUUGCACGUAAAAAAUUGCUUGUUUUUGUGUGUGCUUGAUUUUAUAUUUAUUUGAGGUUUUUAUUUGUUUGGUUAAAUAGCUUCGCAAAUUCAUAAAACGAAUAAAACUAUAUUUUUAAUUUUACAAUUGGUAUCAGAGCGGGUCACUCAAAAUAAAAUAUUUUUUUAUUUUUUUUCAGAGUAUGGUCUGAUUGAUUUGUUUCUAUGUAUAAAUUUGAUCGUAAGAAGCUUGACAAUAUUCAACAAGCCUAUGAUAACUUUGUAAGGAGUCUUAUGAGAAGAACAAAAUUUAUGAAAAAUGUAAUGCAAAAGUGGAAUCACUUAAGAAGUCUUAAGAGAUGAAUAUAAAUAAGAGCUAAUUGAAGCUCAAGCUACCGUGGGUGAAUUGAAUCGUAUAAUGCUACUUUGUCUAAAAAAAAAAUUAUUAUUGAAAAAGAGAAAAAAUAAAUAUUUGAUAAGUUGAAUUUACUUUUUGAAAAACAUUUAAAACCUGACAAAGAUAUGCAUUUGUGUCUUGAGUCAAAAGAUAAUCUUGAGGAAAAAGUGGGUAAAUUAGAAUUUGAUCUUAGUGCUUCUAAUGCUACUCUCGAGAAGUUUAAUGCAGAUUCAAAGGUUUUGGAUGAAAUUAUUUGCGUGCAAAAAUUUUCUUCUGACAAGAGAGGACUUGGAUAUGUUGAUAAGCCUUCAUCUUCUUCCAAAUCGGGGAACAUGGAUAUUUUUGUGAACCCUAAAAAAUGUGGUUCCAAUCUUUCCAAGGCCAACCAAACAAAGGGAUCUCCUAAGAAAACCGUCACAAAUGUAUAGGUAAAAUCAUCUAAUUUUAAUCUUGUUUGCCAUCAGUGUAGUGUCCAUGGUCAUAUUAGGCAUUUAUUGAUUUAAUGAUUGUUUUGAUGAUAUUUGAUGAUGUCAAGGUUUCAUCAUGUAUGGUCUUAAUAUUGAUAUAUGCACAAAAUGUAUAUAUAUAUAUAUAUAUAUAUAUAUAUUAUUUAUCAUAUUAAUACAUAUAUAUUAGAUUCAUGGUAUGAUUAUGCGUAUUCUACAUUAGUAUUUUUCAUUCUAUUAGUAUUAUACACCUUCAAAGUUCAGUCGAUCAAAAUUGCAACUGAAACAAAGUUUGAUUGACUGAAGUUGACUUUUGGUCGGCCGAACUUUCGACCAAAAUUUAAAAUUUUCAAUCCUAACAGUCCAAAUCAAGUUCCAACGGCCCAAAUUAAAUUCUAAUUACUCUAUUACUAUUUCAACAAGUAGAUUUGCUAAGAUGGCUAUAAAUACAACCCUUAACUAGAUGCAAAUUAUGAUGGGAUGAAAUAGGUUUGAUAGGAUUAAUGACCAAUUAAAAUUCUUGUUAAAACUUAUACUAGCAAUGCACUCUCAAUUUAAGCAAAUAUAUAUAAACAACUUAAAAGAGGGGAGAGAAAAUAGUGCAAACGAUUUAUAAUGGUUCAACAAAUCUCAGCCUACGUCCACUCUCCAAACUUCUCAUUGGAAAUUCAUUAUCUUCAAAUUUGUGAGUGCUUGAAAAUCUUUAUAAAUACUAGAACCUUUUAGUCGUCAAGAGAGUCCCUCUCUUAGGAAUUUUACAAUUACUUAUAGUGAUCCUUUCAACAAGAUACAAUAGUUGAAGUGAUUCUUACUUACCAACUCUAGAUCAAGGAUAAAUACAAUCAUAUCUAGAAUGAUCUUGCUCACUUUGAUUUUUGGCAAAUCAAACUCACAAUAAAUGAACAAAUGAUUGAAGUAUUGAAUACAAAUGUUAUUAGGAUUUUAUGGCACUUCAAUACCCUUCCAACAAACCCAAGGAUUGAAUUAUAAGCCAAAAGUUAAAUAGAGUCAUUGCAGCAUGUAAUGCAUCUGAUUAAGCCAUUCUGAUUGAAUCUCAGCCGUUGGAUCUUGAUUUGGACUGCAGGAUUAAAAUGUUCAAACUUCGGUUGACCAAACUUUAAUUAUGGUCGAAAUUGCACUGAGAUUUCAGAGAUUAACUUUUCUUGUUUACUGAAGGGUUGGGGAACUUCGGUCGAGGUUUUGUAACUUUCGAUCGAACGAAUGUCAACUUCGGUUGACAUUGCUCUACAAUUUCAGUAAGCUCUUUAAUCUCUAAUUUGGCUCUUAACUGAUUUCGAUUGAUCGAAUCUUAACUUUGAUCGACUGAACCUUACC